rnacentral:rRNA from 1 species
UCGAGGGGCAGCAUGGUCUUAGCUUGCUAAGGCUGAUGGCGACCGGCGCACGGGUGAGUAACACGUAUCCAACCUGCCGUCUACUCUUGGCCAGCCUUCUGAAAGGAAGAUUAAUCCAGGAUGGCAUCAUGAGUUCACAUGUCCGCAUGAUUAAAGGUAUUUUCCGGUAGACGAUGGGGAUGCGUUCCAUUAGAUAGUAGGCGGGGUAACGGCCCACCUAGUCAACGAUGGAUAGGGGUUCUGAGAGGAAGGUCCCCCACAUUGGAACUGAGACACGGUCCAAACUCCUACGGGAGGCAGCAGUGAGGAAUAUUGGUCAAUGGGCGAUGGCCUGAACCAGCCAAGUAGCGUGAAGGAUGACUGCCCUAUGGGUUGUAAACUUCUUUUAUAAAGGAAUAAAGUCGGGUAUGCAUACCCGUUUGCAUGUACUUUAUGAAUAAGGAUCGGCUAACUCCGUGCCAGCAGCCGCGGUAAUACGGAGGAUCCGAGCGUUAUCCGGAUUUAUUGGGUUUAAAGGGAGCGUAGAUGGAUGUUUAAGUCAGUUGUGAAAGUUUGCGGCUCAACCGUAAAAUUGCAGUUGAUACUGGAUGUCUUGAGUGCAGUUGAGGCAGGCGGAAUUCGUGGUGUAGCGGUGAAAUGCUUAGAUAUCACGAAGAACUCCGAUUGCG